rnacentral:rRNA from 1 species
CUCAAAGGAAUUGACGGGGACCCGCACAAGCAGCGGAGCAUGUGGUUUAAUUCGAAGCAACGCGAAGAACCUUACCAGGUCUUGACAUCCCUCUGAAUGGCGCUUAGCAGCGCAGGUCUUUCGGGACAGAGGAGACAGGUGGUGCAUGGUUGUCGUCAGCUCGUGUCGUGAGAUGUUGGGUUAAGUCCCGCAACGAGCGCAACCCUUGCCUUUAGUUGCCAGCACGUUAAGGUGGGCACUCUAAAGGGACUGCCGGUGACAAACCGGAGGAAGGUGGGGAUGACGUCAAAUCAUCAUGCCCCUUAUGAUCUGGGCUACACACGUGCUACAAUGGCCGGUACAACGAGAAGCGAAAACGCGAGGUGAAGCAAAUCUUUUAAAGCCGGUCCCAGUUCGGAUUGCAGGCUGAAACUCGCCUGCAUGAAGUUGGAAUUGGUAAUAAUCGCGGAUCAACAUGCCGUGGUGAAUGCGUUCCCGGGUCUUGGACACACCGGCCGUCACACCAUGGAAGUUGGGGGGACCCGAAGCCAGUGAUCCACCCCAAGAGGAAACUGUCGAAAGUUAAACCAAUGAAUGGGGUGAAGUCCUAACAAAGUNACCCUAUGAGAAGGGNGGGUGGAUCCCGCCUUCUUAGAAAAAAAUGGGUCACCGGUANUUUUGGNGAUUGNNAAACAAUUNUAUANAANCUAUUNGUUUGGANAAAGUNNUGGAAUUGCUCUCACA